rnacentral:rRNA from 1 species
UACGUAGGGUGCGAGCGUUGUCCGGAAUUAUUGGGCGUAAAGAGCUCGUAGGCGGCUUGUCGCGUCGGAUGUGAAAGCCCGGGGCUUAACUCCGGGUCUGCAUUCGAUACGGGCAGGCUAGAGUUCGGUAGGGGAGACUGGAAUUCCUGGUGUAGCGGUGAAAUGCGCAGAUAUCAGGAGGAACACCGGUGGCGAAGGCGGGUCUCUGGGCCGAUACUGACGCUGAGGAGCGAAAGCGUGGGGAGCGAACAGG